AAUUAAAAAUUUCAUUCAUUUCUAUUGUUAAAAAUUGAAAUGGCUGACAAAAUAACCAGACUGUUGCAUUUGGCAUAUCACGUAUACCUUACGCUGACAUAUAAGGACCAGUUUUUAACAGUAAAACUAGAUGUAAUUUUUAACA
rfam:Gossypium arboreum cultivar AKA8401 contig_11624_1, whole genome shotgun sequence.